rnacentral:rRNA from 1 species
UACGUAGGUGGCAAGCGUUAUCCGGAAUUAUUGGGCGUAAAGGGCGCGCAGGUGGUUAAUUAAGUCUGAUGUGAAAGCCCACGGCUUAACCGAGGAAUUGCAUCGGAAACUGUGUUUCUUGAGUGCAGAAGAGGAGAGUGGAACUCCAUGUGUAGCGGUGGAAUGCGUAGAUAUAUGGAAGAACACCAGUGGCGAAGGCGGCUCUCUGGUCUGCAACUGACGCUGAGGCUCGAAAGCAUGGGUAGCGAACAGG